ACCGUCUGUGAUUUGUUGUGUCGUGCCGUGCCACAUCCAGUGUAGAGAGCAUUACUGAUUAAAAUAGGCUCUGUUGUAUUUUGUUGUGCCGUCCAGUGUAGACACAGUGUUAGAACUCUUAUUAAAUAUCAUUACAUAUGACGCAUGUAUGAUGCCAUUCAUCACUGAUAGAUCAUUUUCUAUUUCAUCGAUAAACCACAAGGUAACUGUAACAUAUUUAAACAAUAUUAAUAAGAAUAAAUAAAAAUGCAUCUGUGACUUACUGUAAUAUUGCUUCUUAUUUUUCAGUGGGUUGAAAGUUCUUAUUAAACACAUAGCUUUAUUCUCAUCUCUGUGCAUUUUCAGACGUUGUGCAUAUUUCUGAAUCAAAUCUUUUUAACUUUUUAACAUCAUAAUAUUGGUUGUCUUCUCUUUUGUCAGAGUUUAGCUCCAACCCCAGUUAAGCAGCUGAUCAAGGAUCACCAGAAACUCUGCAGAACGUUGGUCCUCCAGCCCAGGACUGGACACCAGUGUUUGUCUGUCUCAGAAGCUGAAGAAAAGAGGCCACACCUCAGAGGAAAUAAGCGCCCCCUAAGUGUACAGAAAUAAGAUCAGUGACAAACCAGAUAAAACUUCUCAGUGGUAAGUAUUUACAUAUCCAUAUCCGAAUGUAAUUACUACAACCUCUUAUAUGAUUUGAAGUAAAUAGAGACUAUGUACCAUAAAAAGUAGACAAUGUAAUUAUUCAAGACUAUUUGUGACCCUGGACCACAAAACCAGUUAUAAGGGUAAUUUUUUAAAAAUGUAGAUUUUUAUAUCAAUAAUAU
ensembl:lncRNA